UGGAUCCCGACUUUGAUUCUGGCUCAGGACGAACGCUGGCGGCGUGCUUAACACAUGCAAGUCGAGCGGGGAUGUAUUUCGGAAGGUUUCGGCUGGAAGAGAUGCAUUCUAGCGGCGGACGGGUGAGUAACGCGUGAGCAAUCUGUCCCAGACAGGGGGAUAACAGAUGGAAACAUCUGCUAAUGCCGCAUAAGACCACGAGGUCGCAUGACCUUGAGGUAAAAGGAGCAAUCCGGUCUGGGGUGAGCUCGCGUCCCAUUAGCUAGUUGGCGAGGUAACGGCCCACCAAGGCGACGAUGGGUAGCCGACCUGAGAGGGUGAUCGGCCACAUUGGAACUGAGACACGGUCCAGACUCCUACGGGAGGCAGCAGUGGGGAAUAUUGGGCAAUGGGCGCAAGCCUGACCCAGCAACGCCGCGUGAAGGAAGAAGGUUUUCGGAUUGUAAACUUCUGUCCUAAGUGACGAAGGAAGUGACGGUAGCUUAGGAGGAAGCCCCGGCUAACUACGUGCCAGCAGCCGCGGUAAUACGUAGGGGGCGAGCGUUGUCCGGAAUGACUGGGCGUAAAGGGCGUGUAGGCGGCCGAUUAAGUAUGGAGUGAAAUUCCAGCUUUCAAGGUUGGACUUGCUUUGUAGACUGGUUGGCUUGAGUGCGGAAGAGGUAAGUGGAAUUCCCAGUGUAGCGGUGAAAUGCGUAGAGAUUGGGAGGAACACCAGUGGCGAAGGCGACUUACUGGGCCGUAACUGACGCUGAGGCGCGAAAGCGUGGGGAGCGAACAGGAUUAGAUACCCUGGUAGUCCACGCUGUAAACGAUGAAUGCUAGGUGUAGCGGGUAUCGACCCCUGCUGUGCCGUAGUAAACACAAUAAGCAUUCCGCCUGGGGAGUACGGUCGCAAGGUUGCAACUCAAAUGAAUUGACGGA
rnacentral:rRNA from 1 species